CGGCAAGUGUAGGUUAAGUUCCUCCGGACGCUCCUCUUGAAGAAACUUUUGCAGCCCUCGCAGGCUCAGAAGUUCCAGCUAAACUCACAUGACUCCUCUCUAUCACUUUUUGGUCUUCUGUCCAGUAUAGCAGUAUAUUCCUGAAUACUCUGUGGCCAAGGACUUUGCUUCCUGGCUGGCACUACAGAUGCAGAUCCCUUCACGCCCAUAUGAUUUGCAG